rnacentral:rRNA from 1 species
GACGGAGGGCGCAAGCGUUGUUCGGAAUUACUGGGCGUAAAGCGCGCGCAGGCGGGAAGGUAAGUCUGGAGUGAAAUUCCGGGGCUCAACUCCGGAGCUGCUUUGGAUACUGUCUUUCUAGGGACCGGUAGAGGCCGGUGGAAUUCCCGGUGUAGCGGUGGAAUGCGUAGAGAUCGGGAAGAACACCCGUGGCGAAGGCGGUCUGCUGGGCAGUUUCUGACACUGAUGCGCGACAGCGUGGGGAGCAAACAGG